GACGAACGCUGGCGGCGUGCUUAACACAUGCAAGUCGAACGCUGAAGACCUGGCUUUUGUUGGGUUGGAUGAGUGGCGAACGGGUGAGUAACACGUGAGUAACCUGCCCUCUUCUUUGGGAUAACGCCCGGAAACGGGUGCUAAUACUGGAUAUUCACUGGCCUUCGCAUGGGGGUUGGUGGAAAGGUUUGUUCUGGUGGGGGAUGGGCUCGCGGCCUAUCAGCUUGUUGGUGGGGUGAUGGCCUACCAAGGCUUUGACGGGUAGCCGGCCUGAGAGGGUGACCGGGUAACUUUGGAACGGGGUAAGGGCCAGAAUUCUUCGGGAGGGAGGAGUGGGGAAUAUUGCACAAUGGGCGAAAGCCUGAUGCAGGGACGCCGCGUGAGGGAUGGAGGCCUUCGGGUUGUAAACCUCUUUCGCUCAUGGUCAAGCCGCAACUGUGGGUUGUGGUGAGGGUAGUGGGUAAAGAAGCGCCGGCUAACUACGUG
rnacentral:rRNA from 1 species